rnacentral:rRNA from 1 species
CCGCCGCGGUAAACGUAGGGGACAAGCGUUAUCCGGAUUCACUGGGCGUAAAGAGCGUUGAGGCGGUUCCGUAAGUUGGGCGUGAAAGCUCCGGGCUUAACUCGGAGAUGUCGUUCAAUACUGCGGGGCUUGAGGACAGCAGAGGAAGGUGGAAUUCCCGGUGUAGUGGUGAAAUGCGUAGAUAUCGGGAGGAACACCCGUGGCGAAGGCGGCCUUCUGGGCUGUUCCUGACGCUGAAGGCGAAAGCUAGGGGAGCGAACGGGAUUAGAUACCCCGGUAGUCCUAGCUGUAAACGAUGGAUGCUGGGUGUGGGGGGUGUAAAUUCCCUCUGUGCCGAAGCAAACGCGUUAAGCAUCCCGCCUGGGGACUACGGCCGCAAGGCUAAAACUCAAACGAAUUGACGGGGGCCCGCACAAGCAGCGGAGCGUGUGGUUUAAUUCGAUGCUACACGAAGAACCUUACCUGGGUUUGACAUGCACGUGGUAGGGAACCGAAAGGGGACCGACCUUCGGGAGCGUGCACAGGUGCUGCAUGGCUGUCGUCAGCUCGUGCCGUGAGGUGUCGGGUUAAGUCCCGUAACGAGCGCAACCCUUGCCCUUAGUUACAAGUGUCUAAGGGGACUGCCCGGGACAACUGGGAGGAAGGUGGGGAUGACGUCAAGUCAGCAUGGCCUUUAUAUCCAGGGCUACACACACGCUACAAUGGCCGGUACAAUAGGUUGCGAAGUCGUGAGGCGGAGCCAAUCCUCAAAGCCGGUCUCAGUUCGAAUUGCAGUCUGCAACUCGACUGCAUGAAGCUGGAGUUGCUAGUAAUCGCAGGUCAGCUAUACUGCGGUGAAUACGUUCCCGGGC